GUGGGGAAUAUUGGGCAAUGGGGGAAACCCUGACCCAGCGACGCCGCGUGGGUGAAGAAAUCCUUCGGGAUGUAAAGCCCUGUUGUAUGGGAAGAGCAGAAGACGGUACCAUACGAGGAAGCCCCGGCAAACUACGUGCCAGCAGCCGCGGUAAUACGUAGGGGGCAAGCGUUGUCCGGCAUUACUGGGCGUAAAGCGCACGCAGGCUGAAUUAUAAGUCGGUAGUCAAAUACGGAGGCUCAACUUCCGGAUAUCUAUCGAUACUGUAAAUCUAGAGUAUGUGAGAGGGAAGCGGAAUUCCCGGUGUAGCGGUGAAAUGCGGAGAUAUCGGGAGGAACACCAGUGGCGAAGGCGGCUUCCUGGCACAAUACUGACGCUCAUGUGCGAAAGCUAGGGCAGCGAACGGGAUUAGAUACCCUAGUAGUCC
rnacentral:rRNA from 1 species